rnacentral:rRNA from 1 species
GAUGAACGCUGGCGGCGUGCCUAAUACAUGCAAGUCGAGCGAACGGACGAGAAGCUUGCUUCUCUGAUGUUAGCGGCGGACGGGUGAGUAACACGUGGAUAACCUACCUAUAAGACUGGGAUAACUUCGGGAAACCGUAGCUAAUACCGGAUAAUAUUUUGAACCGCAUGGUUCAAAAGUGAAAGACGGUCUUGCUGUCACUUAUAGAUGGAUCCGCGCUGCAUUAGCUAGUUGGUAAGGUAACGGCUUACCAAGGCAACGAUGCAUAGCCGACCUGAGAGGGUGAUCGGCCACACUGGAACUGAGACACGGUCCAGGCUCCUACGGGAGGCAGCAGUAGGGAAUCUUCCGCAAUGGGCGAAAGCCUGACGGAGCAACGCCGCGUGAGUGAUGAAGGUCUUCGGAUCGUAAAACUCUGUUAUUAGGGAAGAACAUAUGUGUAAGUAACUGUGCACAUCUUGACGGUACCUAAUCAGAAAGCCACGGCUAACUACGUA